rnacentral:lncRNA from 1 species
UAUACUACGAAUAAAGUGUAUUUUCAGAAUUCUAUCUGCUAUCAUUUUCAAGUUUACUAUCCACGGUGGUCACAGAGUUUAUUAAAUAGAGAGGGUCUGUAUACUAUAUCAAUGACCACCAUGGAUCGAUUAGAAAACUUAGAAUUGAAAGUAAAUACACUUUAUUUAUAUAGUGAAUGUUCAUAAUAUACAGAUAAGCGCUAAAAUUAUUCAUGUGCACUGUUGAUACCUUUUCUGAAA